CUGUGCUCCUUCAGCCCCCUCCCUGCCUGCUCUCAGGGGACCCAGAGCCCUUUCCAGAGCCCUCGAUGUGCUCCCCAGAGUGAAGGCUAGCCUGACCCCACACCCCUGCCACAAGGCCACCGCAAGUUCCGCCGUCUGGGCUCUUGCAGAUGGAGCAGGAGAUGCUGAGGAGGGAAGGGGACAGGGGACAGCCAGGGGCCGAGAAGGAACAAGGGCAGCAGGACGCGGACAGGGCCCUGAGGCCAGACCAGCAGCUGCAGGUGGUCAGUCUGAAGAAGCAGCUGGACCAGGAGGUGCCUCGGCGGCAACGAACCCGCCUCGGCCAGGCUUCCCAGGCCAAACAGUGAGCCCUGCUGCAGAAUGCCCCCGGGCGGCCUGCCCACCACAGCCGUGACCAGCCAGGGGCAGCGGAGCCCCCGCCAGGAACACAGAGGCCUCGUGCCGUCCUGAGAGCGUGGUGCGGGCAGCCACGGCCCGGAGCCCACCACUCCUUCCCCAGGGGCCCUGUGUCAGAGGCACCCUGCGAUCACUGAGCACAGAGCUCCUCCCGGCCCUUGGGACCCCGGCUCCAGGACGCCCCUCGGCCACGCCCCCCGCUGCACGGAGCCCCCACAGCCCGCACCCGGCCUGGCACUGCUUCUGCUCAGGAUGCGCUGAUCUGGGCAGACCCUGGUAGCCAGGCCCCGUCCGGCCAGCCUCCGUGGCCACAGGCUGCAUUCCAUGCCCUCAGCUCUAUAAACACGGGGAAACACGUGGAACAUGUUUCCACCAACUGGAGCCAAAAACAUAAUGUCCUGAGAGGCCCAGCCACCACUUCCCUCCGUCCAGAGGCCGCGGGACCUUCUGUAUCCAGGAACUGCAGGCCCGUCCCAGUGGCAGGUGGCUGGAAAUGACUCAGAAGCAAGUCCCUGUGACUCCCUGGCCACAAGAAGUGCCGGCCUGUGAAAGUUAGAGCGCUCCUGAGCCUCCCACUUCUCCAGCUUAUAAACUCUGGGAAAUUCCUGCGGGAACCCAGCCCGUUUGCUGCGGAGACCGAGGCCGCCAUCUCGGGCCUCGGAGGGGUUCACCUGUCGGCAUUUUUACU
rnacentral:lncRNA from 1 species